ACCCAUCUCUUAUCUUAAUUCAACAUCGAGGUCGCAAACUUAUUCAUCGAUAUGAACUCUCCGAAAAAAUUACGCUGUUAUCCCUAAGGUAAGUUAAUCUUUUAAUCAAAAAUUCUGGAUCAAAAAAACAUAAAUAAAUGAAAAAAGUAAUUAAAAGUUAAUUAAAUUUUAAUAUCACCCCAACAAAACUCAUUUUUUUAAAAAAAUAAUUAAUAAUCAAAAAAUAUAAUUUUAUAAAAUUAGUUAACUUCUAUAGGGUCUUCUCGUCCUAUAAAAUAAUUUCAGCUUUUUAACUAAAAAAUUAAGUUCAAAAAAAUAAUUAAAAGAAAGUUUAUAUUUCAUCAAACCAUUCAUACUAGCCUCCAAUUAAAAGACAAAUGAUUAUGCUACCUUAGUACAGUUAUAAUACCGCAGCCUUUUGAUAUUAUAAAUCAAUGGGCAG
rnacentral:rRNA from 1 species